CUUCUACUCUUUUUGCUUGAAAAUCAUAUAAUUUCCAGUAAUUUUUUGUUCUUUUGCCUCAUGAUUACUUUAAUUAAUAUAAUCAAUUGUAGUGGAUGAAGCACUCAUAUUCUAGCCAACGGUUACCUUGUCAAUUAUUAUUUUUUUCAUCGUUUAAAUCAUCAUGUUAUUCAUGUCUUUAGUUGGUGAAGCUAUGCAUACUUAGUCGAACCAUCUUACAGGUUAAUAUCACCUUAACAAAUCAGGUCUUAUUCUCGAUAAUUUUGGAAUUGAUUGUGUGAAUGAAGAUGCUUUAGCAAUUGUGGCGUAGUUUUAGUCUGCUCUCAUUUACACCAAAAAUAACGAGCCUUGAGGAUUUCCUGUCGAGCCAAUAUCUCAUUGCUCAAGAGCAUCAAAGAUUCAAUUUUCUGUUAGAAAAUCAGUGAGUGAAAACUUAGUCAUGUCACUCAAACAAUAACAAGUUAAAGAAUGUCUAGACCACCAGCUCAAGGCUUGUUCAAGUCACAAAGGUAAAGGUUUACUUGUCUUAUGGACUAUAUACUUCUUCUUCCAUUUUUAUUUUUUUUAUUUUUAUCAUAGAGACAGUGAAAAUUAAGUAUCUAGCUUUGCACUUUGUUUGUUUAUUGAAGACCAGUAAAACUAGAAUCAAAAGAUAUACCAAGCAAUACUGUAUCUUCCUUCUUGAUAUGGUUGUCUUGCCACUUUAAAUAAAUUCCUACAUUAGAUGAUGUACUAAGGAACAUAUUGAUUUACCGCUGUAGAUUUGCAGUAUAAUAUUGUCAGUACUUAAGAUGUUAACAGCUUAAUAUUGUGCCGACAAACUUGUUUGAAGACAAGAAAUUACGUAUUUGUAGUUUUAUAUUUUCCUACUUACAAGUAAAAAGUCACGUCUAACUUUCAAUACUAUCAACUCAAUCAUUUUCAGUUUUAGUCGAUGAAAAAAAUUGUUUAUUGCUUGAACUUUCUCAUGAGUAAUUUUCU
rnacentral:lncRNA from 1 species